GCCGCCAGUGCAAUAAUAGGAAAACAAACCUAUUGUUUAAUCACAUCGCUCAUCAGUCACGUGCACGUGAUCAAAUCUUGCCACCAAAAAGUAACAUUUGGGACUUUUUUAUAAAAAGUGGUCGAUUUUCUAAAUGUAAAAUCUGCCAGGAAGAUGUAAAAACAUCUGGAAAUACAACUAAUUUACAUUUUCACAUGAAACGUUAUCAUCCCGAAGUUGAAAUGAGAAAAUCUGCAGUAUCUCUCAAGAGAAAGACACAAAUAUCCGAAAUAGACAACGAAGAUGUUAUCGAUAUUGAUGACCCAGACUCAUUUCCGACACCGUCUAGUCCGUGUCCGUCUACAUCAUCAGAAACGCGAUCAGUAUCGGUUUCACCAAGUCUAAUUGUUUCUAAACCUUCUAAACAAAA